rnacentral:rRNA from 1 species
CGUAAAGCACUGUCGCGAGGGAAGAUACACUUCAGACCAACAAGCGUGAGGUUAAAGACGGUACCUCGAGAGGAAGCACCGGCUAACUCCGUGC